rnacentral:rRNA from 1 species
UACAGAGGGUGCAAGCGUUGUCCGGAAUUAUUGGGCGUAAAGAGCUUGUAGGCGGUUUGUCGCGUCUGCUGUGAAAUCUCAAGGCUCAACCUUGAGCUUGCAGUGGGUACGGGCAGACUAGAGUGUGGUAGGGGAGACUGGAAUUCCUGGUGUAGCGGUGAAAUGCGCAGAUAUCAGGAGGAACACCGAUGGCGAAGGCAGGUCUCUGGGCCACUACUGACGCUGAGAAGCGAAAGCAUGGGGAGCGAACAGG